rnacentral:rRNA from 1 species
AGCGAACGCUGGCGGCAGGCCUAACACAUGCAAGUCGAACGAACCUUUCGGGGUUAGUGGCGGACGGGUGAGUAACACGUGGGAACGUGCCUUUAGGUUCGGAAUAACUCAGGGAAACUUGUGCUAAUACCGAAUGUGCCCUUCGGGGGAAAGAUUUAUCGCCUUUAGAGCGGCCCGCGUCUGAUUAGCUAGUUGGUUGAGGUAAUGGCUCACCAAGGCGACGAUCAGUAGCUGGUCUGAGAGGAUGAUCAGCCACAUUGGGACUGAGACACGGCCCAAACUCCCACGGGAGGCAGCAGUGGGGAAUCUUGCGCAAUGGGCGAAAGCCUGACGCAGCCAUGCCGCGUGAAUGAUGAAGGUCUUAGGAUUGUAAAAUUCUUUCACCGGGGACGAUAAUGACGGUACCCGGAGAAGAAGCCCCGGCUAACUUCGUG